AGUGAACGCUGGCGGUAGGCCUAACACAUGCAAGUCGAACGGCAGCACAGUAAGAGCUUGCUCUUACGGGUGGCGAGUGGCGGACGGGUGAGGAAUACAUCGGAAUCUACUUUUUCGUGGGGGAUAACGUAGGGAAACUUACGCUAAUACCGCAUACGACCUACGGGUGAAAGCAGGGGAUCUUCGGACCUUGCGCGAUUGAAUGAGCCGAUGUCGGAUUAGCUAGUUGGCGGGGUGAAGGCCCACCAAGGCGACGAUCCGUAGCUGGUCUGAGAGGAUGAUCAGCCACACUGGAACUGAGACACGGUCCAGACUCCUACGGGAGGCAGCAGUGGGGAAUACUGGACAAUGGGCGCAAGCCUGAUCCAGCCAUACCGCGUGGGUGAAGAAGGCCUUCGGGUUGUAAAGCCCUUUUGUUGGGAAAGAAAAGCAGCAGGUUAAUACCCCGCUGUUCUGACGGUACCCAAAGAAUAAGCACCGGCUAACUUCGUG
rnacentral:rRNA from 1 species